rnacentral:rRNA from 1 species
ACCCGCUGAACUUAAGCAUAUCAAUAAGCGGAGGAAAAGAAACCAACAGGGAUUGCCCUAGUAACGGCGAGUGAAGCGGCAACAGCUCAAAUUUGAAAUCUGGCUUCGGCCCGAGUUGUAAUUUGCAGAGGAUGUUUCUGGCGCGGUGCCUUCCGAGUUCCCUGGAACGGGACGCCAUAGAGGGUGAGAGCCCCGUAUGGUUGGAUACCAAGCCUGUGUGAAACUCCUUCAACGAGUCGAGUAGUUUGGGAAUGCUGCUCAAAAUGGGAGGUAAAUCUCUUCUAAAGCUAAAUAUUGGCCAGAGACCGAUAGCGCACAAGUAGAGUGAUCGAAAGAUGAAAAGCACCUUGAAAAGGGGGUUAAACAGUACGUGAAAUUGUUGAAAGGGAAGCGCUCAUGACCAGACUUGUGCUGGGCAGCUCAUCCGGGGUUCUCCCCGGUGCACUCUGCCCAGUUCAGGCCAGCAUCGAUUUUUGCUGGGGGAUAAGAACGGUAGGAACGUGGCCCUCCUUCGGGAGGGUGUUAUAGCCUGCCGUACGAUACCCUGGCGGAGAUCGAGGUUCGCGCAUCUGCAAGGAUGCUGGCGUAAUGGUCAUCAGCGACCCGUCUUGAAACACGG